GCCCGCUCUCUCACACCACAACUCUUGCCCGCGCGCUUCGAUGGUUCCCGACAGCAGAAAGCCAUCGAAAACAGUCUAUUCUAUGAUACUCACCUGGUUUUAGCAGAUGUAGUGCCUUUUCAUAGCGUUAUAAUAGCUCCUCUUAGAAGAAAUAUGGUAGGGUAAUGUAUGGCGGAGUGCGCGAAGAGAGAUGCGCGGUGUAAGGCGCAUGCGCGAGCUGGCGGAGGCCGAAGACUGCGGAGUGGGCACGGGGGCUCGCCACCGCAGCACGUGUCUCGCGAAAACUUGUAUUUUUUUUUUUCUAAAUUGCAACUUUAGGGUGGCUUCAUUGGGAAACAGUAUGGGGAGGUUGUUUGGGUUUUGAUAUGAAAAUAUAGCCCAUGAUACAACCACACAUCUUCGUAGAGGGAUCCCAAACCACCAUUCAUGCCAUGAGGACAACAUCUUUGAUUAUUCUCCUAGUCGUGGUGUCGCUAUAAAGCCCCUUCUUAUUUAGGCCUAAUUUUAUUUACGACAAACAUAAAUAACUAAUUUGUCUAAAUUAAUAGUUCCAGUAUUGGAUUCCAAAAGAUUUAGUUACCUACAUAACGGUGGAAGAAAUUAAAACAGUUUAUAUGAAAAAUCUGUGAUUUUAUUUUAUAAUCUCAUUAUCCUCUUAAUAAAUAAAAGGUUUCAUACAAAAGUCUAUACUUACAACUCCGAGAGGAGCUCACUUGUCUAACUCAUAUUUAAACUAUCUUACAAUAACUUGACAUAAAUAAUAAAAGGAAAAAAUAUUAAUUACCUUACCUGUGUCGUGGGGACUGUAUAGAAAAAGCGAACUUAAAAUAUUUCAAUGUAACAUGAUUUAUUUCAAAUUAUUUAUAUCUUUGGAAACUGGUUAUUAGUCUUGUCAUACUCUGUCCUUAGUUCAACCAAAAUGUCAUUUUCUUAUUAGUUGUUACAAUUAAUAAGCGUUCAACUGGUUUUAGCUUUAACAAUAAAUAAGUGCGAAUAUUUCCCAUGGCACAGGCAGGUCUUGGUUAAUGUUUAGAAUUUGGAAAAAAAAAAUCUUGUUUUUUCAAACCAAAAACAAUGCUACGUUGUUAGCAAUGUUUCCUACUCAAGGAUAAAAACCCAGGAAAAAUUAAAAAUUUGGGAAACAGACCUUGCACAUUGUGGUUAGGCGGUCAAUUGACCAUUGCGUUUUGGUUCCACCAAUCCACCAUAAUGCAGAGUUUUAUUUUCCUGAAAAUCACCUAUGUUUCCUCAGAACAUUUACAUGAAUCUUGCGUACAAGAUAUUGAAAAUUUUCCACGCUAGUAAUUCGGCGUAUACUAUAUAACAAACUACCUAAAAUCUAGAAUCAAUCUUCAAAGAUUCCUGUGA